UCAAAACUUUCAACAACGGAUCUCUUGGUUCUGGCAUCGAUGAAGAACGCAGCAAAAUGCGAUAAGUAAUGUGAAUUGCAGAAUUCAGUGAAUCAUCGAAUCUUUGAACGCACAUUGCGCCCGCCAGUAUUCUGGCGGGCAUGCCUGUUCGAGCGUCAUUU
rnacentral:rRNA from 4 species